CACCGGCCCACCUUCUCCCUCCCUUUCUUACACACACAUACACACAUAGCUACACUCAAUCACGAAUGCACAGGGAUUGCAGCAACAGCAGCACCGCGAGAUGGAGAUCUCCGCUGCGUGUGUGAGUGCCUAUUCCCGCUGUCACUGCGCCGGCUGUCUCUGUCUCGGUCCUCCCGCAGACUGUGAGAGCUGCUCCAGUGGCUGGACGGAACCCUGGCACCCACUGAAUACAUGGAUGAACACUGGCUCUACAGGGGAUCUGUGCUUUCUUGUCCUUUGCACCUCUAAUCUGUUUGUCAAGGAAAUAUGGUGAGCAAAGAGGACACCGAAUGCGUUGUUUUCUCAAAUUCAGAUGAAUCAGAUUCAGAUACCAGCCCAUUACACCUUGACACACAGUCUGGACGAGAAUCAGGCAAGCAGCAGGUGAAGAAGAGAAACAAGGCCUUACAAGUGCGUUUUAAAGAUAUCUGCGAAGCUCAGAAUGAUCAUCGGGGGAGACACUCCAGAUCCAUUUCCUGUAAAGUGACUCACCGAAAAUACAUGACCAUGCCUGCCAGACGCUCCAUUCCGAAUGUGACCAAGAGUACUGGUGUCCAGACGUCACCGGAUCUCACAAAGCGAUACAAGACUUUCCCUUUUGAGAGGAAAAAGGGACAUACAUUUAAACACACUGCUUUGGUGGAAGAUUACAAGGGACAAAACAAUGGGUUUUUGAGUGAUAUAAAGACAGGAGGAGAGGACGGGCAACCUAUUGGUGAGUACAAGGGUAAGAUUGUGGGGCAGACAAAGGCUUUGCUCCACCACACUGAUGACAGCAGUGAUACUGAGGAUUUACUUUCUAGUGCCAACUGCCUGGACGGACCCUCAUGCCCAGAAUCACAUGUCUCGGAAGAGGGCCAUCCGAGCAGCCCUCCUUCCAAAGGUGAACAAGAGUACCAGGUUUCUGGGACAAGGACCAAACACAAAGGAUUACCCAAAGAAGGCAUGGAUGCUGGCACUUCCUCAAAGCGGCAGCUGGCUAACUCAGAGUUUUCACAGGACAAGUCUAAGGGAAUGGGCCCUGUUGCGUGGAACACUUUGACACAGGUGGAGUCUUUAGGAAGCCCCUCUGUGAGCUGUAAACGGAAAAAGGGCACGCAGCUAAAUGAACAACACUCUCACACACUUCCCCACAGUGCCAAAUGUUCUGUACAGUCACAAGGGCAGUGUCGGACAAGGCACGUGUCAGCCUCCUCUAAACUCCAACAAACAGUUGGGGGGGACGAGGGCUUUCCUCCAGGAGACACAGGAGCUGCGGGCAUGGGGAGCAUCCAGCAGAUAAUGCCCUUAUCUGGAGACAAGGAUAUCAAAGCACAGCUGCAGGCCAUGGAGAACCUCAUCAGCUCGAGCCAGGAAACCAUCAAGGUCCUACUUGGAGUUAUUCAGGAGCUGGAGAAAGGUGAAGCACAGAGAGAGGGGCUCUCCUACCGAACAGGACAAGACACAGCAAAUUGUGACACUUGUCGAAACAGCGCAUGCAUCAUUUACAGUGUCGAGCUGGACUUCAAGCUGCAGGAGGACAAGCUACAGCCCCUGAUGAAGAGACUUUUCCCCCUGUACAACAAACAAUGCCCUGCCCUGCCUUACCCCAAUGAAGUGUUCACAUCCACCCCAAAACGCAAGGCAAAGACAGAGUCCAAAAAGCAUGCUCGUUGGAAACUCUGGUUCCUUUGAAUAAAAUACGAAGGCUUUGGAAACGGCCUUUUUUGGCAUAUUAAUACCCCUCUUAUUCUCAAAAUGGAUGAAGGGAUAUUCAGAGGGAGUAAUCAACCCAUGAGAAUGGAUAAUGACAGAAACCAGUUCAUUUGAGUUAAGACUGCACUUCAAAUCGUCUAGGGGACAGCAGAUACUAAGAAACAUUUUAAAUUCUGUCAAACCUUUUUCUGGCAUGUGUGCUGGAGAGCGUCGACACACACCUGCAAAAACUAGAGCAUAUUGCUUGGCAACAAGAGGAGGUGCCAUGUGGAGGGCCUUUAUGAGUGAAGCUAUAAUGUUUGAAUGGACAUCAGCCCAACCUCCGGCAAAGCACAAACACUUGACUAUUGAGAGGAACAUACGUAAAAGACUGAAACACAGUACAAUACAUGACAGUAUGUCACUUCUAUUCUUAGAACCCUGUCUAUUCUCUCCCUGUCCUACUUUAACAUCCUGGUCAGUUUGUUUGUCUGACUUUACAUCUGCCGUUCUUUGUCUCCCCCUUCUCUUUGUAGUUGUCCCUUUAUCUCCCUCCGUCCUUCUUUCUGACUCACUGUGCAACACUGUGUCUGGUCCUUUUCUGUUAGCUACACUAACUUGUAAUUUUCAGGAUGCACAUUUAAUAUAGCUAUCCUUUUUUGCAAAGUUGGAGAUGUAACAAAAACAAACCAUAAAUAUUUAAGUCCUUUUUUUUAACAGCAUAUAUAGUAUAAUGUUUUGACGACAUCCGAGGCAGAGCAUUUUCUAUGAUAAUGUAAAUGAUUUUUUUUUCUUUUUUUGAACCACAAAACGUAAAAGCUAUUUAAACAUUUCCCUGCGAGUCCAUUAAAAGUUUGCCUUGCCUCUCUGUCAUUUACUGUCACAGAAAAGCUCCUAUCUAAGUUAUUUUGUUUGUGUCCAGUUAGCUAACACUUAAAGUGCUGUUUUACAAUAUUGAUUUAUCUUGCCAUUCAACUGGCAUUUCAAUGUUAUAAAAUUAAAUAACUUUUUUAGUUUUUUGUCACAGAAAAUAAGAACAACAAGCACCUGUCUACCCACCCACACCUGUGCACUGAACUUGUAAGAGUAGAAGGGCUAUAAACAGUGCUUAAGGAUGAAAAACAUGUAGCCACCAGCUUUGAUUAAGCAAAAAAAAAUGUAGCGAUGACAUUACAAAGCAAUUUUAUAACAGCAGCUCUCAUUUCAUGUAGAUUAUGCUACUGUGUAAUGUCUAAGAAAUGUCAGAAAGACACAUACUGGCAUCCCAUUGUUAGAUUAUUCAGUAGAUUACAUUAUUCAGGUCACCAUUUCCAUGCAAAGAUAUGUAACUUGAGAAUUGCAAUUUAGUGAUUAUGUGCAAUAUUAUGCAUUUUUCUACUGUUUC